rnacentral:rRNA from 1 species
AUGGCGUACUCCUCCUGUUUGAAUCGGAGUUUGAAACCAAACAAACUUCUCCUCAGGAGGAUAGAUGGGGCGAUUCAAGUGAGAUCCCAUGUAGAUCUAACUUUCUAUUCACUCGUGGGAUCCGGGCGGUCCGGGGGGGGGGGCACCACGGCUCCUCUCUUCUCGAGAAUCCAUACAUCCCUUAUCAGUGUAUGGAGAGCUAUCUCUCGAGCACAGGUUGAGGUUCGUCCUCAAUGGGAAAAUGGAGCACCUAACAACACAUCUUCACAGACCAAGAACUACGAGAUCACCCCUUUCAUUCUGGGGUGA